UGGUACUCUGGUUUUUUUUUUUUCAGACACCUCGUUUCUAAUCAUUUUAUUUGGAAAAUCAAAACCCCAACUCGUAAUCAAAACCCAGAGAUUUGUUUAGUUGAAAAUCUAGAAAACCAAAUCAUAACCCAUAAAACCAGAUCUAAAAUCUCAAAAAAUCCUAAACCUUGAAAAUCAAUUUUGUUCCUUAAAUCGAAUUUCGAUACAUCAGAUAGUUGAUUGCUUUGUUGAUUAUCAUCAGACCCGAACAAUGAUGGUAGCACCUGGUGGGGAAGCGUUGGGUGUUGUUGUUGGUGUCUUUCAGCACAUGGUUCAGACUGACAAACUGUCCUCCUGCAGCUGUUGCUCAUCCCACUGUGCACUCUUUUACCCCUUCAAAUCCUCCUCCUCUGAAAGAGUGCAGAAGUAUCAUCAGACAACUUUGGGUGCUCAGCUAUAUCCUAGUUGCUAACACACCGUAUCAAACACUGCAACCUUCAUUUGGUCCUCUUGGUGGUGGUCCUUCUCAAAUGGGUUCCACUUCAGGCCAUACAGUGUCUCAGGGCCCUGCACCUAUACCUGCGCAAAGGCCUUUUAUGCCAGGAGGGAAUAACACUGCAGGAUUUUCUCAACGACCUGCAAUGGGUGCUUCAAUGCAAGCUCCAAGUCCUGCUCAGCCAUCGCAAACAGUUGCAGCUCCAGCGCCUGCAACUCCUCCACCUACCGUUCAGUCAGUUGAUACAUCAAAAUUUCCUGGUAGGUUACAACUCCUUCCCUUACUCAAAACCCCACAUAUUCUUUUGGUCUAUGUUUUUGUAAAGGAGAAAGCAAACUUAAUCAAGAGCUACAUGUCUUCUUAACAUUUUGGACAUAUCUAAGAAUGCAUCUGAUAAGCUUAUUCAGCUUUGCCUUGCCUUGGACAAUGGUGAUUUUGUUCGUGGACUGAAGUGUCCUAGCAGCUACUGUGGAAAGGUACACAUAUUAUGGUUUAUACCAUGUGAGUAUCUUCAGGCUUAACAUUCAAGUACCUAUCUACUUAUGUUGUAUAUUCAGUUGGCUGGGGUCAUAAGUUAUGCAUUAGAAAUGAAUUUAGUGUUUGUAAUUUCCAGAUUGUUGUGUAUUGGGCUGAAAAGGUGUUUCUGGAUAUACAAUAUAUAAGUAUCGUCUCAAGCGCCUUGAGGGGGAGCCGGUACUGACAACUAAUCAGUUAAUGAUGUAUCCGAUAAGGAAGCGUGCGUUGGAUGCGCUACCAUUUUGUGAGUGUCCGCGCUUCCUUGAUAUAAAAAAGAGAAUGAGAAAGAUCUUGAUUUGAGUUCUUCGUAUUGUUAUUAUUCUCUCUUUCUUUCUUCUAUAAUUUCAAUUGCUUGCAAAAAUGCGCACCUCAUUUCGUGCUUUAUAUGAGCUUCUUAGCUAUAUAUAAUGGUCACAUUUGCUUUACAGUUGUGAAGAUAUUAUUGUGAACUCUCUUGAAGCAAAAGAAUUUGUCUCAAGGUUGAAUGUCCCAAGUAUCCUGGAUUCUGCGUAACUCGUCAGAGAAAAGACUACCCUUACAUCGGGAUAUUUCAUAGCAGCGAACAAGAAGAAAGUUUCGUUCCAUCAUAAGCUAAAGCUGGAACUUCUCCCGUGUUGCCCCCAUAUUGUUGUGUCAUGUACCUAAGGGUUAUUGUGUUGAGUGCCUCUACUUGAAAUAAGCUGGUGGAUAGCCCUGAAAAAUUAGCAUGGGGUAGUUACUAUUCUUAUCAUCCUUCAGUAGGAUUACUACACGUGUCUAACACAGAUUGGUCCUUGUCUUGACCAAUAUUUCUUCUUCUUUAAAUGUGUAAGAACAGACCCUAAUUAGGGUAAGCUUAAUGAAUGUAUCUGAGUGUUGAUGUCUA